AAGAGUGAACUAGCUAACUGAAAUCAAUCUACAUAUAAAUAUUGAUUGAUAACGUAAGGGAAAAUUAUGAUAUUACCUUACUAUUAGUGUCGUCCAAAUCUGGUGCCAGAAGACUCGGUAAGGCCAGAGACGCAAACGUUAAUCGUCUUAAACAGGCGUAAAGGGUUUGUAGGCUGCUUUUAAUUUUAUCUAUAACAAAUUACCCCUCCGGUAAACAUAGCACAAUAGAUACUUAAUAAAAGCUAGAAUCAAAUAGAGGUUAUAUUAUAUAAUGCUUAAAGUAGGUCUAAUAUCCUAACAGAUUAAGUGGAAUAUUAAAAGCGAAGGCUUAUUUACCAUAAAUGAUUGACGCUGAGAAACGAAGGUGAGGAUAGGAAAUAGGAUUAGAUACCCAAAAUACCCCUCUCUGUCAACGAUGAAUGGUGGUUGCUAAUUAUAAAAUUAGUAGCUAUGUUAACACGAUAACCAUUCCGCCUUGUGAGUACGACUGCAAAGUUGAAAACAAAAAAAUUAGUCGGUUUCGGAGCAAACGAAGUG
rnacentral:rRNA from 1 species